GACGAACGCUGGCGGCGUGCUUAACACAUGCAAGUCGAGCGGUGAAGCGCCUUCCUUUUUGGUGGGUGUGGAUGAGUGGCGAACGGGUGAGUAACACGUGAGUAACCUGCCCCCUUCUUCUGGAUAACCGCAUGAAAGUGUGGCUAAUACGGGAUAUUCUGGGUCUGUCGCAUGAUGGGUCUGGGAAAGAUAUUGUUUCGGUGGGGGAUGGGCUCGCGGCCUAUCAGCUUGUUGGUGGGGUGAUGGCCUACCAGGGCGGUGACGGGUAGCCGGCCUGAGAGGGUGGACGGUCACACUGGGACUGAGACACGGCCCAGACUCCUACGGGAGGCAGCAGUGGGGAAUAUUGCACAAUGGGCGCAAGCCUGAUGCAGCGACGCCGCGUGAGGGAUGGAGGCCUUCGGGUUGUGAACCUCUUUCGCCAGUGAAGCAGGCCUGCCUCGUUUGUGGGUGGGUUGACGGUAGCUGGAUAAGAAGCGCCGGCUAACUACGUG
rnacentral:rRNA from 1 species